rnacentral:rRNA from 1 species
UACGUAGGGCGCAAGCGUUAUCCGGAAUUAUUGGGCGUAAAGAGCUCGUAGGCGGUUUGUCGCGUCUGCCGUGAAAGUCCGGGGCUCAACUCCGGAUCUGCGGUGGGUACGGGCAGACUAGAGUGAUGUAGGGGAGACUGGAAUUCCUGGUGUAGCGGUGAAAUGCGCAGAUAUCAGGAGGAACACCAGUAGCGAAGGCGGCACUCUGGGCCGGUACUGACGCUGAGGAGCGAAAGCGUGGGGAGCGAACAGG